AGUACCGUGAGGGAAAGGUGAAAAGCACCCCGACGAGGGGAGUGAAAUAGACCUGAAACCGGACACUUACAAACAGACGGAGCCCAAGAUUUGUUCUGGGUGACGUCGUACCUUUUGUAUUAUGGGCCAGCGACUUAAUUUAACGAGCAAGCUUAAGCCGAUAGGCGUAGGCGUAGCGAAAGCGAGUCUGAAUAGGGCGUUUAGUUCGUUGUAUUAGACCCGAAACCUAGUGAUCUAGCCAUGGGCAGGUUGAAGGUGAGGUAACACUCACUGGAGGACCGAACCGGUGUCUGUUGAAAAAGACUCGGAUGACCUGUGGUUAGGGGUGAAAGGCCAAUCAAACUGGGAAAUAGCUGGUUCUCCGCGAAAGAUAUUUAGGUAUCGCCUCGCAUGAAUGCUUCGGGGGGUAGAGCACUGGAUGGCUAGGGGGACUUACCGUCUUACCAAACCCAACCAAACUCCGAAUACCCGAAAGCAAUGUGCGGGAGUCAGACGGCGGGUGCUAACGUCCGUCGUCGAGAGGGAAACAACCCGGACCUACAGCUAAGGCCCCCAAUUCGUGGCUAAGUGGGAAAGGAUNUGGAAAUCCCAAAACAACCAGGAGGUUGGCUUAGAAGCAGCCAU
rnacentral:rRNA from 1 species